CCUAGCGGGUUACCGGGGCUCCGGUUCGAAAAGCAGGAGUAGGAACGAUGUGGUUUUUAGUCAGUAAGUGUCUGACACUCCCUCUCGCCUCGGCCAAGGCGAGAGAAGACAUUGGAUGAUUUUCCACCCUUGUUUAUAGGUGCAUUUAUGGAUAGUCUUGCCGCGGCUGCUGUAGCGCCGUAUUUACAUCGACGCUACGGCACCCGCGGCUCCAUACAAAUGCAGAUUGGUACAAGUACAGUGACACCUCGAUGGCGGCUGCGCCACUACCGCUGCAGCGUAAUGUGUAAACGGUCUUAGCGUAGGGUAUUCAGAAGGAGAGGAUAGAAACUGGAUGUACACAAGCAUCUUUGUUUACAAAAGUACAGUGAUCAUAGUGUUACCUAAAAAUCUAAUUCAAACUAUAGAGUUAUAACUAUGAUAGUGCUUGUCAACGUCACUUCAGAUCAGAAUGCUUCAGACAGAUUGAACAGUCAACUUUGUAGACUAUAUAAAUAAAAAUGUCAAAACAAAACUCCGAUGUAGUCAGACAAGAAAUGUAGUCAUACAAACAAUACAUUUUGGUUACAAUACAAAUAGAAAGUAGACAAGCAAUACACCGUAUCACAUCAAGGAUGAGGAAAAGUAAAAUUGUCAUGGGUUAGAAAGAGCUGGAGAACACAGGACUCUUUAUGCUGUGUGCACAAAACAAUACGAAGUAGUUGAAAAUGGGGAAAGGCAAAGCUGCAAAGGCAGCAAAACCGCCUAAAGCAGCAAAAGGCGGGUCACAGAAGGGUGGAGCAGCUCCUGCCGCCUCAGGAGAUGAUAUCUGGAGCAAUAUCAAACAAUUUGGGCCAUGCGCGGGUGUCGGGAUCGUAGUGGCCUUGGUGGUGUUGACUCUGUACAUCUUGCUCGCUGACACCAUAAGAGAAUGGAUCAACGGCCCCUACGAGUGCAAUCGCGUCUGCAGAGGACCUUGCAGGUGGAGACGGCGGCGCUGCCAAUGUGAAUAGAAUAAGGAAAGUAGAAGAAGCUCGUCCACUAUUCCCAGAGGAACCGAUUGAGGAAUUUAUGAUUUAUAUUUUUGUACACAUUAUACAUAUAAUUAUAUACUUAUUUUCAAAUGUUUGUAUAAAAUGUGCUUUAAGGAAAAAUAUUUAAUGAAGCAAUAAACUAAUCAUUUCAUAACUUAA